CUUUGCUAUUUCACGAACAGUAAACUGGCAUUCCAAAAAAAAUUGAAGAAUAUCCUCUGGUAUAUUAAAUUGCUUAAUUCCAGGAGCUCGGUACAUAGUCGAAGAACCAUGAUUUAAACACUUCAACCGAAGGUUCAUUAUUGCAGAUCCAUCAGUAACACCUAAAUUUUGCAACUCAUAUUUCGAUAAUUUUCCAACUAUAUCUGGUGUAAUCUUUUCAUCAUUAAAACGCGAUACUAACGUACCAAGGUUUAAAUCUUUCAAAAUGUCAUCCAUUUUGCAAACAAGACUAACAGAUUUGAGCGGGGUUUAUCGUAACUUCAGAGAAGCGGAUCGGAAUCAGUUUUGACGUAGACAGUAAUCGUUCUAAUCGUAAUCAUGUUUAUUGACCAUAACAACGAUGAAAGCACAUCAUAUAAUGUCGUUCUGACACCAUAUAAUGAAGUUAGUCUAACCACAUAAUAUAAUGAUAAGAUCACAUCAUAUAAAGAUGAAUGCACACAAUAUAAGGGUAAACGCACAUAAAAUAAAGACAAUUGUACAACAUAUAAUGCUCUUUGUACAUAAUAUAAGGACACAAUCAUAUCAUAUAAGGAUACAUGCACGACAUAUAAGUAUAAAUGCACAUCACAUAAGGAUGUAAGCACAACAUAUAAGUAUACAUGCACAUCAUAUAAGUAUAUAUGCACAUCAUGUAAGUAUAUAUGCACAUUAUAUAGGUAAAUAUGCACAUCAUAUAAGUAUAUUUGUACACCAUAUAAGUACAUAUGCACAUCAUAUAGGGAUAUUUGCACAGCAUAUAAUGAUAUUUGGACAUCAUAUAAGUAUAUAUGCACAUCAUAAAAGUGUUAAUGCACAUCAUAUUAGGAUGUUUGGACAGCAUAUAAUGUCAACUGGACAUCAUAUAAAUGUUUGUACACAUCAUAUAUUGACAAAUGCACAUCACAUAAGGGUAAAAUCACAUCAUAUAAUGUCAAAUGGCCAUUAUAAGACAGUUUUGGCGUUCCAUA
rnacentral:lncRNA from 1 species